GUAAAGAUUUGAUCCAAAGCCCAUUGAAAUCAAUAGGAAUCUUUUCACUGACUUCAGUGGGCUUUGGAUCAGGCCCUAAAGGC
rnacentral:pre_miRNA from 1 species